CGAGCACGCGCGUGUGGCAUAUCAAUAAGCGGAGGAAAAGAAACUAACAAGGAUUCCCUUAGUAACGGCGAGUGAAGCGGGAAGAGCUCAAAUUUGAAAUCUUCAAGGUUCUACCUUGACGAAUUGUAGUUUAUAGAAGUGUUUUCUGUUAGUAGAGUGGCAAAAGUUCUUUGGAAUAGGACAUCAUAGAGGGUGAGAAUCCCGUAUUUGGUCAUUCUUUCUAGCUUUGUGAUACACUUUCAACGAGUCGGAUUGUUUGGGAAUGCAGUCCAAAAUGGGUGGUAAAUUUCAUCUAAAGCUAAAUAUUGGCGAGAGACCGAUAGCGAACAAGUACCGUGAGGGAAAGAUGAAAAGAACUUUGAAAAGAGAGUUAAACAGUACGUGAAAUUGUCAAAAGGGAAGCGUUUGACACCAGUGUUGUUUUUCCGAAAAUCAAUUACGAAUGUUUUGUUUUUAAGAAGUUAUGACUUCAUCGGCUUGCUUCUUUCUUUACGAAACUUUCUUAAUGCACUUUUCGGUUAACAAGUCAACAUCAAUUUCUUUUGUUGUAAAAGGGUAAGAGGAAGGUGGCUUUCUCUUCGGCGCAAGUGUUUAUAGCCUUGUAUCUCUGCAAUCGGAGAGAUUGAGGUCUGCAGCGUAGAUCCUUCGGGGUUAGAUACAUUUUGUGCUAAGUUAUAGCUUUUCAUAGACAACUUGUUGACUAUGUUAAGUCUUGUAGCUUAGCUCGCUUAUGCUAUUUUACCUACGCUUAGGAUGUUGAUGUGAUACUGCGAGCA
rnacentral:rRNA from 1 species